rnacentral:tRNA from 1 species
GCUCUUGUAGCUCAGUAGGUAGAGCGCUUGGCUGUUAACCAAGUUGUCACAGGUUCGAGUCCUGUCAAGAGCG